UACGGGGGGAGCAAGCGUUGUUCGGAUUUACUGGGCGUAAAGGGCGCGUAGGCGGCCACCGCAAGUCAAUUGUGAAAUCUCCGGGCUUAACCCGGAAAGGUCAACUGAUACUGCGGGGCUAGAGUGCGGAAGGGGCAACUGGAAUUCUCGGUGUAGCGGUGAAAUGCGUAGAUAUCGAGAGGAACACCUGCGGCGAAGGCGGGUUGCUGGGCCGACACUGACGCUGAGGCGCGAAAGCCAGGGGAGCGAACAGG
rnacentral:rRNA from 1 species